rnacentral:piRNA from 1 species
UGGGACUUGCUCCUUGUGUAGCUGUCUGC